rnacentral:rRNA from 1 species
UACAGAGGUCUCAAGCGUUGUUCGGAUUCAUUGGGCGUAAAGGGCGCGUAGGCGGCCUGCUAAGUCGAACGUGAAAUCCCUGGGCUCAACCCAGGAACUGCGUCCGAUACUGGUUGGCUUGAAUCCGGGAGAGGGAUGUGGAAUUCCAGGUGUAGCGGUGAAAUGCGUAGAUAUCUGGAGGAACACCGGUGGCGAAGGCGGCAUCCUGGACCGACACUGACGCUGAUGCGCGAAAGCUAGGGGAGCAAACGGG